rnacentral:rRNA from 1 species
CCCUUAGAUGUUCUGGGCCGCACACGCGCUACACUGAAGGGAUCAGCGUGUUCUUUUCCUGGUCCGAAAGGAUCGGGUAACCCGCUGAACCCCCUUCGUGGUAGGGAUCGGAGCUUGCAAUUAUUCUCCGUGAACCAGGAAUUCCCAGUAAGCGCAAGUCAUAAGCUUGCGUUGAUUACGUCCCUGCCCUUUGUACACACCGCCCGUCGCUACUACCGAUUGGACGUUUUAGUGAGGAUUUUGGACUGAGCCAAUGGUGGUUCACACCACUGUUGUGCAUGGAAAGAUCUCCAAACUUGAGCGUUUAGAGGAAGUAAAAGUCGUANCA